AGAGUUUGAUCCUGGCUCAGAACGAACGCUGGCGGCAGGCCUAACACAUGCAAGUCGAGCGCAGUCCUUCGGGACCGAGCGGCGGACGGGUUAGUAACGCGUGGGAACAUACCCUUUUNUACGGAAUAGCCUCGGGAAACUGAGAGUAAUACCGUAUAAGCCCUUCGGGGGAAAGAUUUAUCGGGAAAGGAUUGGCCCGCGUUAGAUUAGAUAGUUGGUGGGGUAAUGGCCUACCAAGUCUACGAUCUAUAGCUGGUUUUAGAGGAUGAUCAGCAACACUGGGACUGAGACACGGCCCAGACUCCUACGGGAGGCAGCAGUGGGGAAUCUUAGACAAUGGGCGCAAGCCUGAUCUAGCCAUGCCGCGUGUGUGAUGAAGGUCUUAGGAUCGUAAAGCACUUUCGCCAGGGAUGAUAAUGACAGUACCUGGUAAAGAAACCCCGGCUAACUCCGUGCCAGCAGCCGCGGUAAU
rnacentral:rRNA from 1 species